rnacentral:rRNA from 1 species
GAUGAGCCGACGCCGGAUUAGCUAGUUGGCGGGGUAAAGGCCCACCAAGGCGACGAUCCGUAGCUGGUCUGAGAGGAUGAUCAGCCACACUGGAACUGAGACACGGUCCAGACUCCUACGGGAGGCAGCAGUGGGGAAUAUUGGACAAUGGGCGCAAGCCUGAUCCAGCCAUGCCGCGUGUGUGAAGAAGGCCUUCGGGUUGUAAAGCACUUUUGUCCGGAAAGAAAUCCUUUCGAUUAAUACUCGGGAGGGAUGACGGUACCGGAAGAAUAAGCACCGGCUAACUUCGUGCCAGCAGCCGCGGUAAUACGAAGGGUGCAAGCGUUACUCGGAAUUACUGGGCGUAAAGCGUGCGUAGGUGGUUCGUUAAGUCUGAUGUGAAAGCCCUGGGCUCAACCUGGGAAUGGCAUUGGAUACUGGCGACCUAGAGUGCGGUAGAGGGGUGUGGAAUUCCCGGUGUAGCAGUGAAAUGCGUAGAUAUCGGGAGG